rnacentral:rRNA from 1 species
UACGGAGGGAGCUAGCGUUGUUCGGAAUUACUGGGCGUAAAGCGCGCGUAGGCGGCUAUUCAAGUCAGAGGUGAAAGCCCGGGGCUCAACCCCGGAACUGCCUUUGAAACUAGGUAGCUAGAAUCUUGGAGAGGUCAGUGGAAUUCCGAGUGUAGAGGUGAAAUUCGUAGAUAUUCGGAAGAACACCAGUGGCGAAGGCGACUUACUGGACACAUAUUGACGCUGAGGUGCGAAAGCGUGGGGAGCAAACAGG